rnacentral:rRNA from 1 species
AUUGAACGCUGGCGGCAUGCCUUACACAUGCAAGUCGAACGGCAGCACGGGUGCUUGCACCUGGUGGCGAGCGGCGAACGGGUGAGUAAUACAUCGGAACGUACCUUAUCGUGGGGGAUAACGCAGCGAAAGCUGUGCUAAUACCGCAUACGCCCUGAGGGGGAAAGCGGGGGAUCGCAAGACCUCGCGCGAUUAGAGCGGCCGAUGCCUGAUUAGCUUGUUGGUGGGGUAAAAGCCCACCAAGGCGACGAUCAGUAGCUGGUCUGAGAGGACGAUCAGCCACACUGGGACUGAGACACGGCCCAGCCUCCUACGGGAGGCAGCAGUGGGAAAUUUUGGACAAUGGGGGCAACCCUGAUCCAGCAAUGCCGCGUGAGUGAAGAAGGCCUUCGGGUUGUAAAGCUCUUUUGUCAGGGAAGAAACACCGGCCCUAACACAGUCCGGGAAUGACGGUACCUGAAGAAUAAGCACCGGCUAACUACGUGCCAGCCGCCGCGGUAA